CAAGCUGUGCUGCCCUAAGGUUCCUGAAGUAAGUGGGAUGAGUUAAUCUGACUGUGCCUGGGAAGCUGUUUCCUCCCACGAUGACUCUCGUGAUGCCUCUUUGGCAGCCAGUGGACCCCUGAAAUCGUUUUUCCUCAAAGACAGCUGUGAACGCUGUGCUCUACUCAUUGCUUCCAUGAGGAUCUGCCCGAGUACAGCAAAACCUUCGCUGCUGGCUGAGAUACAGGUGUGAGAAGGGGCAGAAAGCUGUGGAGCUCUCUGUAGGAGUGCCAGAAGAGUGUUUCAGAGAUGCUGGGUCAAUAUAUUUGCCCUUUAUGUUUGGGAAGCCGGAGAGAAGUCGGAAAAUAAUCGUGGUAGAAAAAUCCCGGAUGUAUCCCGACAAGUGGUGGUCAGUCCCUCCCAGGAGCCCGGCACGGCGGAGCAGGUACCGUCGCGGCAGGGCGGUGAGCAAGCGCGAACCACGAAAGCGGCGCGGUGGUCAGCAUGGAGCCUCUGCUUUGUAGGUGACCUGUCGUUUGGAGGACGACCAGCGCAGGACUUGCCGCCUACCGCCAGUAUCCCCCGGCGCUUCGGCUGGGCUCUUCCCUCUGGCGAUGAUGGUGGCGCAGCCUGCCGGGGAGCUGCUGCAGGGCCUGGGCACGGCCGGAGACGUCUGAAGGACCUGGCCCACCUUCUCCUGGAGGAAAGGCACUGAAAACGCUAGGGACUGAAGGGAAAAGGUCAGUUAGAUGAGCAUAUGGGUGCUCCUGCUAGCACAGAGCUGUUCCCUGCAGUCUGUUAUUUAGAUAUGAUGCGCUUUGCCCAGUCUGGUUUUAAAUGACUCUGUCAAUGAGCUUCCACAACUUAUAAAUGAUUAUUCCAGCUUAACAGAGCCUCCCUACCAGGAUAUUAUUCUUGACGUUAAGCACGCAUUUCCCUUUGUUCUUUUUCUUCCCGUUUACUGCUGACUAAAUCUUGUAAAAUUUGUCAAAUAAUUCCUCUGCUCCAUUCACCUAUCUGUAAAAUGUUCCCUGUUCUCUUCCCCCCCACCCCCACUUAGUUCUCAUUUAGCAUUUAUACCUAUUUAGGUCUUUUAAUCUUUCUUCAUAAAUUAAUACCAGCAGCUCCUUAAUCAUUUUGAUUGCUCUUCUCUAAAUCCCCUUCGGUGUGUUUUCAUCUUUCCGGCUCUGAGGUUUGCAGAAGGGUAAUCAGCAGUCUGUGUGCAGUCUCGCCGGUGCUGUAUACAAAGAGACAAACAGCAGCCCAGGCUGUGAUAUAUUGCUACUGCAUGUACAACCAAAAAUUGCGUCGGGUUCUCUUUUUUGCUACUGGAUCGCAUUGCAAAUUGAUGUCCACAUUACUGCCCAUUCACUCCCAUGGGUCUUCUCCAGGACGGUUUCUGUACGGGACUUCCCUGCUUUUGGAGGCUUACGGAUAGUAUAUUUGCAGUCAUGGAAGUUACAUUCCCUUGCUCAGAUGUGGCUUUUUUUAUGGUGUUUGUCCCUUAUGUUUUGUUACAGGAAUAAACCAAAUGCUAAUCGAUACCCA
ensembl:lncRNA